AACAGUUCUGCUUCUGUGAGCCAGGUGUUUAAGAGAGGGUAGGACCAGAGAAGUAGUGUUGGAAGUGAGCAUUUCUAGGUGCAGACAAGGGAUUUGGGGCAUAGAAGAUCACACUCUUCUUCCUCUGUGUCUUAAGAUUUUACUUUAUAGUAAUUUAUCUUAGUCCAGGUGCAGUGCCUCACACCUGUAAUCCCAGCACUUUGGAAGGCUGAGCUGGGAGGAUUGCUUGAGGCUGGCAGUUCGAGACUUCUUCCAUUUUAAGGGACCUUGUGAUUACAGCUGGUCCACCUGGAUCCAAGAUACUCUCCCUAUUUUAAGG